rnacentral:piRNA from 1 species
UAAGCUCUUGGACGAGGUUCACUGGU